rnacentral:rRNA from 1 species
CCUACGGGAGGCAGCAGUGGGGAAUAUUGGACAAUGGGGGGAACCCUGAUCCAGCCAUGCCGCGUGUGUGAAGAAGGCCCUCGGGUUGUAAAGCACUUUCAGUGAGGAAGAACGCCUGGUGGUUAAUACCCAUCAGGAAAGACAUCACUCACAGAAGAAGCACCGGCUAACUCCGUGCCAGCAGCCGCGGUAAUACGGAGGGUGCGAGCGUUAAUCGGAAUUACUGGGCGUAAAGCGCGCGUAGGUGGCUUGAUAAGCCGGUUGUGAAAGCCCCGGGCUCAACCUGGGAACGGCAUCCGGGACUGUCAAGCUAGAGUGCAGGAGAGGAAGGUAGAAUUCCCGGUGUAGCGGUGAAAUGCGUAGAGAUCGGGAGGAAUACCAGUGGCGAAGGCGGCCUUCUGGACUGACACUGACACUGAGGUGCGAAAGCGUGGGUAGCAAACAGGAUUAGGUACCCCGGUAGUC